AGCAGUCGCCGCGGGAAUACGUAGGGUGCGAGCGUUGUCCGGAAUUAUUGGGCGUAAAGAGCUUGUAGGCGGUUUGUCGCGUCUGCUGUGAAAAUUCAGGGCUUAACCCUGGACGUGCAGUGGGUACGGGCAGACUAGAGUGUGGUAGGGGAGACUGGAAUUCCUGGUGUAGCGGUGGAAUGCGCAGAUAUCAGGAGGAACACCGAUGGCGAAGGCAGGUCUCUGGGCCAUUACUGACGCUGAGAAGCGAAAGCAUGGGGAGCGAACAGGAUUAGAUACCCCCGUAGUCCCUGUCUCUUAUAC
rnacentral:rRNA from 1 species